rnacentral:rRNA from 1 species
UACGAAGGGGGCUAGCGUUGCUCGGAAUCACUGGGCGUAAAGCGCACGUAGGCGGCUUGCACCGUCAGAUGUGAAAUUCCUGGGCUUAACCUGGGGGCUGCAUUUGAUACGUGCAGACUUGAGUUCGGAAGAGGGUCGUGGAAUUCCCAGUGUAGAGGUGAAAUUCGUAGAUAUUGGGAAGAACACCGGUGGCGAAGGCGGCGACCUGGUCCGAUACUGACGCUGAGGCGCGAAAGCGUGGGGAGCAAACAGG